rnacentral:rRNA from 1 species
GACGAACGCUGGCGGCGUGCUUAACACAUGCAAGUCGAACGGAAAGGCCCUGCUUUUGUGGGGUGCUCGAGUGGCGAACGGGUGAGUAACACGUGAGUAACCUGCCCUUGACUUUGGGAUAACUUCAGGAAACUGGGGCUAAUACCGGAUAGGAUCUCCUGCUGCAUGGUGGGGGUUGGAAAGUUUCGGCGGUUGGGGAUGGACUCGCGGCUUAUCAGCUUGUUGGUGGGGUAGUGGCUUACCAAGGCUUUGACGGGUAGCCGGCCUGAGAGGGUGACCGGCCACAUUGGGACUGAGAUACGGCCCAGAAUCCAACGGGAGGCAGCAGUGGGGAAUAUUGCACAAUGGGCGGAAGCCUGAUGCAGCAACGCCGCGUGCGGGAUGACGGCCUUCGGGUUGUAAACCGCUUUCGCAUGUGACGAAGCGUGAGUGACGGUAAUGGGUAAAGAAGCACCGGCUAACUACGUG